GAGUUUGAUCAUGGCUCAGAUUGAACGCUGGCGGCGUGCUUAACACAUGCAAGUCGAGCGGCAGCGGGCCCGCAAGGGUGCCGGCGAGCGGCGGACGGGUGAGCAAUACAUAGGAAUCUGCCUCAGAGCGGGGGAUAGCCAGGGGAAACCCUGAUUAAUACCGCAUGACGUCGAGAGACCAAAGUGGGGGAUCGUAAGACCUCACACUCUGAGAUGAGCCUAUGUCGGAUUAGCUAGUUGGCGGGGUAACGGCCCACCAAGGCGACGAUCCGUAGCUGGUCUGAGAGGACGAUCAGCCACACCGGAACUGAGACACGGUCCGGACUCCUACGGGAGGCAGCAGUGGGGAAUAUUGGACAAUGGGCGAAAGCCUGAUCCAGCGACGCCGCGUGGGUGAAGAAGGCCUCGG
rnacentral:rRNA from 1 species